GACGAACGCUGGCGGCGUGCUUAACACAUGCAAGUCGAACGGAAAGGCCCUGCUUUUGUGGGGUGCUCGAGUGGCGAACGGGUGAGUAACACGUGAGUAACCUGCCCUUGACUUUGGGAUAACUUCAGGAAACUGGGGCUAAUACCGGAUAGGAGCUCCUGCUGCAUGGUGGGGGUUGGAAAGUUUCGGCGGUUGGGGAUGGACUCGCGGGUUAUCAGCUUGUUGGUGGGGUAGUGGCUUACCAAGGCUUUGAAGGGUAGCCGGCCUGGGAGGGUGACCGGCCACAUUGGGACUGAGAUACGGCCCAGACUGCUACGGGAGGCAGCGGGGGGGAAUCUGGCGCAGUGGGCGGAAGCCUGAUGCAGCAACGCCGGGUGCGGGAUGACGGCCUUCGGGUUGUAAACCGCUUUCGCCUGUGACGAAGCGUGAGUGACGGUAAUGGGUAAAGAAGCACCGGCUAACUACGUG
rnacentral:rRNA from 1 species